rnacentral:rRNA from 1 species
UCGGGAAUCUUGCGCAAUGGGGGAAACCCUGACGCAGCGACGCCGCGUGGGGGAGGAAGGCCUUCGGGUUGUAAACCCCUUUUCACUGGGACGAGGGAGGACGGUACCGGUGGAAUAAGCCCCGGCUAACUACGUGCCAGCAGCCGCGGUAAGACGUAGGGGGCGAGCGUUGUCCGGAGUUACUGGGCGUAAAGGGCGUGUAGGCGGCCUGACAAGUCAGGGGUGAAAGGCCGCGGCUCAACCGCGGUGUUGCUCUUGAUA